GAGAACAAGCAGAAGCACCCGCUUCUCACCUGAUUGACGCACAUCGUUGCUGUUGACAGGUUUAUACAUUGGACAAAAAGUUCGUGUAUUCAACGUGUGGGUGCAGUGUGCGUCUACGCGUUUUUUAUUUG
rfam:Aeribacillus pallidus strain 8m3 NODE_1, whole genome shotgun sequence.